rnacentral:rRNA from 1 species
GAUGAACGCUGGCGGCGUGCCUAAUACAUGCAAGUCGAGCGAACGGACGAGAAGCUUGCUUCUCUGAUGUUAGCGGCGGACGGGUGAGUAACACGUGGAUACCCUACCUAUAAGACUGGGAUAACUUCGGGACACCGUAGCUAAUACCGGAUAAUAUUUUGAACCGCAUGGUUCAAAAGUGAAAGACGGUCUUGCUGUCACUUAUAGAUGGAUCCGCGCUGCAUUAGCUAGUUGGUGAGGUUACGGCUUACCAAGGCAACGAUGCAUAGCCGACCGGAUAGAGUGGUCGCCCACACGGGAAGUGGAACGCGGUCCAGGGGCCUACGGGAGGCAGCAGAAGGCAACCUGCGGCAAUGGGCGAGAGCCUUACGGAGCAACGCGGCGUGAGUGAUGAAGGUGCUCGGAGCGUAAAACUCGGUUAUUAGGGAUGAACAUAUUUGUAAUGAGCUGUGCACAGCUUGACGGUACCUAGUCAGAAAGCCACGGCUAACUACGUG